ensembl:lncRNA LINC02955 long intergenic non-protein coding RNA 2955
GUUGCCCUUCAUCACUCAGCAGUGAAGAAUGAAAAUCAACAGAGCUUUCCCCAGCCUGCUGCUUAAGCAGCUGCUAGCAGGCUGAGGCUGCCCAGCCUCAUUAACCCAUUAGAUGCUGCGUUCGCCCGGGAGUCAUUCUUAAUGAGGCUGCUGCAGAGACGGCGUUUCACCAUGUUGCCCAGACUGGUCUCGAACUCCUGGCUUCAAGUGAUCCUCCUGCCUCAACCUCCCAAAGUGCUGGUAUUACAGUUUUUCAGAGAAAACCAUGUACAUUUUGUGAGAAUACUCAAGCAGCCCCAUGGACCUGUCCAAAUAGCAAGGAACUGAAGCCCUCUGACAAGAACCAUGUGAAUGAACCAUCCUAGAAGGAGAUCCUCCAGCCCCAGUCAAAUCUCCAAAUAACUUCCCCCACAGUCAAUAUUACAACUGCAUCCUCAUGGGAGACCCUGAGCUAGAACCACCAGUAAGCCCCUUCCAAAUUCUGAAACCUUAGGAAUUGUGUGAGAUAAUAAAUAUUUACUACUAUUUAAGCUUUCUAAAAGACAUAAAAAAGAAUAAAAUCAUGUCCUUUGCAGUAAUAUGAAUGUAGCUGGAGGCCAUCAUCCUAAGUGAAGAUGGAAGAGAAAACCAAAUACAGCAUGUUCUCACUUAUCAGUGGGAGCUAAACAUUAGGGACAUAUGGACAUAAAGAUGGCAACAGUGGACACUGGGGGCCACUGGAGUGGGGAGAGGGGGAGGGGAACAAAGGCUGAAAAACAACCAAUUGGGUACUAUGCCCACUACCUGGGUGAUGAGAUCAUUCACACCCAAAGCCUCAGCAUUGUGAAAUAUACCCAUGUAAUAAACCUGCACAUGUACCCCUGAAUCUAAAGUUGACAUUAUAUUAAAAAAAGAAAGCUGCU